GACGAACCGUCCAAACGUUAUUCGGAAUCACUGGGCUUACAGAGUUCGUAGGCGGUCUGGAAAGUUGGGUGUGAAAUCCCCGGGCUUAACCUGGGAAUUGCGCUUGAAACUAGGCGGCUCGAGUGUGGCAGAGGGGGGUGGAAUUCCACGUGUAGCAGUGAAAUGCGUAGAGAUGUGGAGGAACACCGAUGGCGAAGGCAGCCCCCUGGGUCAACACUGACGCUCAGGCACGAAAGCGUGGGGAGCAAACAGG
rnacentral:rRNA from 1 species